AGACGUCUACAUUAGAUACCCGUGUAGUCCCAGCCGUAAACUAUGCGCGUUAGGUGUAUCGGUGACCACGAGUCACCGAGGUGCCGAAGGGAAACCGUGAAACGUGCCGCCUGGGAAGUACGGUCGCAAGGCUGAAACUUAAAGGAAUUGCGGGGAGCACCACAACGGGUGGAGCCUGCGGUUUAAUUGGACUCAACGCCGGGAAGCUCACCGGAUAAGACAGCGGAAUGAUUGCCGGGCUGAAGACUCUGCAUGACUAGCUG
rnacentral:rRNA from 1 species